GGCUUGCUGGUCUAGUGGUAUGUUUCUCGCUUAGGGUGCGAGAGGUCACGGAUUCGAUUCCCGUGCUAGCCC